ensembl:lncRNA
AAAGAAUCUACGUCAAAAAAAAAUCCACAUAAAAAAAUGUCUAUAUAUUUCGAAAAUAGAUGACAAAGACCAACUUUUGUUGAAUUCUAAGGAAAAGGGGAUUUCUGAGGACCAGAGUGGCCAUGCAUCGCUUCCCAUAAGAGGUGGCUCGCACCGGGGGGCUGAAGAUUGUGGUGGCAGGAAGGGGACCUCUGUGACUCCUCGGGGAUGGCCCCAUCUCAGGAUGGCCAGGAAGGCGGGCCCCGGCAGCUGCGUUCAGGGCGGAUGGGGCCCCUCAAGGUGAGGUCGAGGAGGCCGCCCUUCCUCCUCUCCAUCUCUGAGGACCGAAAGCAAAUUCAGUGCCAAGUCAGAAUGGGAGAGACGCCACCCAGGAAGCAGCCCGCCCCACGCGGCCAGGAGCGAGACUGGGCACUCCUCCCACCCACAGCCACGACACUUCCUCUGCAGGACCCUUCCCUGUGGGGCCGGGGGCUCUCCAGGCCUGGCUGCCAGCAGGAUGACCCCAGAGGGAUGGCCACAGGUGAACCAUGCUCAGCUUCUGGGUGGACCCCCGCCCUUCCCUCAAACACGUGCACACACCCCCUUUCGGUCCUGUCAACCAGGCGCCUCAGUCUUGCUGACUCAUCCAGUCUUCCUGGGGGGCCAACACCAAGGCAGCAUCCCUUCCCCAGAGGAAAGCAGGGCCUGCCCCAGCUCUGAGGCCACCAGUCCUGGGUGCUCUCCUUCCUAGUGGCACCCGCAGAGUGUGGCCUCUGGAUGGGACAGACCACACCUAAGCUGGCUCUGAGAGCCCAGCAUGGUUCACCCCCAAGGGGCUACUGGGCAGUCCUGGAUCUCACACCUGCACACGAACAAGGCCGUGCGUCCAGGCCUCCGCUGUCUCGUCGAGAGGACCCCGUCCUGCCCGCCUCACAGGGGUGUUGAGUCAGCGCUGGUGGAAACACCACGAAAAGGAGGAAGUGUCCCCAUUCUAAACGGCAGCACUUCUCAGUAAUAAUGAGUCUGGCGCAGGGGCUGGCUGUGUGCGGUGGGCGGGCCUGCCAGGGAGGCUGGUCCUACAAGGCGAAGCGACACUGCGGCACCGGGUUUGUUUCCGCCGUCGGCGAGGAGGUUCCUGUUCUAACCACCUGCCUUUCGGCUCCGUUGUUUGUUCCUGGCUGCCCCCGUUAGGUCAAGAGUCAGGAGGCACGGCCUGUCCUGUGGGAAUCACAAGACGCCCAGCCCGACAUCCCUCUCGAAGAUUCCAGCUCUGGGUCCAGACCCCCCAGGUCCCUCGAGACUUGUAGCCUCGGAGCUCCUCCCAAGGGCAGAGCCAGAAGGAGGCUGGAGAUGUGGGGUCCUGCUGAUUGGGGGUCCCAGGAGCCGCCUGCAAAGGCUGCCUGUUCCCAGCCUCUGGUACAGACAGCUGGAGCUGCCCCCCAGGAGCUGCGAAAUAAGUUACAGUGUAUCCUGCUGCACAGCUGUUAAAGAGAAUCCAGCACUCCCCGAGCACAGCUAUGGAAGAAUCUCUAAGAUACAGUAUUACAACUGGGAGAAAGCAGCAUGCCUGCCCACAAGCCCCCUGCCCGGACCCUGUCUCUGGGAGGGAGCAUAUGGUCAUUGAAAUACUCUUUUGCGCUGUUUUGAUUUUUUGCUAUAUACAUGUAUCAGUCUA